AGCUAAAGAAAUCAAAUGACUGAAUUGGACCUUUAACCAUCUCAUUUGGUAAAAACAUAUCAGAGGCAUUUUUCUCUCCUCAUUCACAAACAAACACGAUCAAAAUAAAUCAAAGGAGCAAGAAGAUCAUGAAUUCAAUCUCAAGGAUUCAAGCCAAUUCAUUUUAGCAAAUCAUAAACUCAUCAUCUAGCAUUAAAUUGAAGCAAGAAAUUGGGUAAGAAACUCAAAACCUAAAGCUAGAAAUUGAAUUGAAUGAGUUAGGGCUUUGUUUAAAUUUCUGAAAUUGAUGCAAUUGGAUGUUGGUAUUUGGUCUAUAAGUGUUUAAAUGGAGUUUAUGAAGUGUUUUGAUGAGUUUGUAAGUCAAGUUGUUUAAGGAAUUGAAAAUUUAAAAAUUUGAAACUUUUUGCAUCAAUGGGUUUUGAUUGAUUGAGAGUCUUGGAUGUUUGGAGGUUGAAGGGGGAGCGUGGUGGCCGGAUAAAGACCGGUCAGGCCACGGCGGGCCUGACAUGUAGGCUCCGUUGAGCAGACUUGCGUCUGCUCAACAAAGAGCAGACCUGCGUCUGCUCUAAAGGAGCAUACCUGCUGGUUUGCUCUAAUGAGCUAGCCAGCCGGCUGCUCCGGGGUCGUUGGGUCGCCGGAAUUUGUUCCUAUCUCGAGGUGUUCUCGGAUGUUUUGAUAAAUUGAUAAAAUACUUUACAAAAGCUGAAAAAUGAAGUUAAGGUUUUUAUAAAGAAUUGUUUGAAAGUGUUUUAAAUCAAUUGAUUAUUGUAUAAAUGUUGGUUAUAUGAAAACAUGAAUAGAUGGGUUGAAAAGUACGGCUAGCUCGUUCAAUAGAUUGUUAUACGAUUAGUUGAGUCGAUUGAAAUGCGUAUAGGAAGGCACUAAUGAAAUUAAAGGAUUUAGCGUGAAUUCAAGUUUGAAUACUGAAUAGUAGGCCUAAAAUUUCUAAAUGACUAAAUAUAUAUGAAACUCGAAUAUAACUAUGUAUAGAUCAUUCGAGUUGUGGAAACGGGUAAAUAGUGGAUUGAACGCAUAAACGACACGCGAGUUCAUUUAUUGCUUUUGUGCUUAAUUGGAAAGCUAUCGAGAGCUUAGCGGUCGGGCUCAGACUUCCAUUCGUAGAUCUGGAAGUCGUCUUUUUGCCAUGUACAGCUUUAGCUCCUUAGCGAUGCGGUAGUUCAGAUUUAUGUUUUUGGUCAAGGUCUUGUUAGCGGUUUAUGUAUGUUUUAAUCGUUAACCGCUAUUAUAUAUAUAUGUUUUGCUAGGCCUUGUUUUGCGGAUAUAGGAUGUCAGUUGUAUAUGUUUAACUGACAUAUCAGGUUAUUGAUGUAUAUGUAUAUGGCUAUGGUUGUAAAAAGUGGCUUUCGAACUUUUCAACGGGUGUGGUUAGUUACGUUUACAGCUAUUAUAUUGUUGUUUUUUCGGAAACAAAUUAUUAAAGUUUUUACAAUAACCGUUUUAAAAAGAUAAAAAGUUUUGUAAUCGUUAGGCUUGCUACGGGUUUUGGUGCUACCACGCCCAUUGCCUAGCGCCGGUCUCAGUUCGAGAAUUCGGAUCAUUACAAACGCCCUCUCUAUUUUACCGAUUUUAUGGCUCUCAUAUAAACUUAGUUCCAUUUGAAGUAAUUGAAAUUGCUAAGAAAAAUGCUCAGCAGCAUAGAAGAAGUGCUAGUGAGGAGGUAUGGAUUGAUUGACUAGUAUGUGAUAUUCGUAUAAUACAGUCUGAUUUGUAUUCUUAAGGUUAGUUGAAUUCUUAUGAGUUACUAUAUUUUGUAGAUAUUUUUAUCAUUAAAAUGAUGCAUUUUAACUUA